rfam:Cajanus cajan CcLG09_273, whole genome shotgun sequence.
AUACUUACCUGGAUGGGGUCAAUGGGUGAUCAAUAAGGUCCAUAACAUAGGAGGGUGACAUUCAUUGCACUUAAGAGGGUUGCUUUCCUAAGGUCUACCCAAGUGGUAGAACCUACAUCAUAAUUUGUGGUAGUGGGGCUUGCGUUCGCGCAGCCCCUUC